rnacentral:tRNA from 16 species
GGGGGUGUAGCUCAGUUGGUUAGAGCGCUGGCCUGUCACGCCAGAGGUCGCGGGUUCGAGUCCCGUCACUCCCGCCA